rnacentral:rRNA from 1 species
AUGCAAGUCGAACGGCAGCACAGGAGAGCUUGCUCUCUGGGUGGCGAGUGGCGGACGGGUGAGGAAUACAUCGGAAUCUACUUUUUCGUGGGGGAUAACGUAGGGAAACUUACGCUAAUACCGCAUACGACCUACGGGUGAAAGCAGGGGACCUUCGGGCCUUGCGCGAUUGAAUGAGCCGAUGUCGGAUUAGCUAGUUGGCGGGGUAAAGGCCCACCAAGGCGACGAUCCGUAGCUGGUCUGAGAGGAUGAUCAGCCACACUGGAACUGAGACACGGUCCAGACUCCUACGGGAGGCAGCAGUGGGGAAUAUUGGACAAUGGGCGCAAGCCUGAUCCAGCCAUACCGCGUGGGUGAAGAAGGCCUUCGGGUUGUAAAGCCCUUUUGUUGGGAAAGAAAUCCAGCCGGCUAAUACCUGGUUGGGAUGACGGUACCCAAAGAAUAAGCACCGGCUAACUUCGUGCCAGCAGCCGCGGUAAUACGAAGGGUGCAAGCGUUACUCGGAAUUACUGGGCGUAAAGCGUGCGUAGGUGGUUGUUUAAGUCUGUUGUGAAAGCCCUGGGCUCAACCUGGGAACUGCAGUGGAAACUGGACGACUAGAGUGUGGUAGAGGGUAGCGGAAUUCCUGGUGUAGCAGUGAAAUGCGUAGAGAUCAGGAGGAACAUCCAUGGCGAAGGCAGCUACCUGGACCAACACUGACACUGAGGCACGAAAGCG